rnacentral:misc_RNA from 1 species
AUUUUCAGCCCGUCAGUCCAUUGCCUGCCAUCUUCUCGUGUAGGGGCCUGCCUGUCCUCCUCUUUCCCUCCCUGGGCUUCGUGCACGUACUCCCCCGGGCCGUGCUGCUCUCCACACACAAACCCCAGUGAAACCUUCCCUUCAGUACCCCGGGGUUGCCUGUGGGCGCUGUAAAAGACGAAAAAACCCGAGAAAGAGCACCAUAGACAGCCGCCCCUGAGCUGGGAGAAGGGGCGUUUUUGAGUGUAUAUUUUAAUUCAGCCCCCCAGGACACCCCUACAGCGUCACCAUGUCGGGGAAUAUGGGGAUGGAGCAGUUAAUCCCCAUAGUUAAUAAGUUACAAGAUGCCUUCACACAGCUGGGCGUCCACAUGCAGCUGGACUUGCCUCAAAUUGCUGUGGUAGGAGGGCAAAGUGCGGGGAAAUCUUCUGUGUUGGAGAACUUCGUCGGGAGAGAUUUCCUUCCCCGAGGCUCUGGCAUUGUCACAAGGAGGCCACUUAUUCUACAACUUAUAAACAACCCCCAUGAAUAUGGCGAAUUUCUGCACAAGAAGGGAGAGAAGUUUACAAAUUUUGACGAGAUCAGGAAAGAGAUUGAGGCGGACACGGACAGAGUCACCGGCCAGAACAAGGGCAUCUCAAACCUACCCAUCAACCUUAGGGUCUACUCUCCCAAUGUGCUCAACCUGACCCUGAUCGACUUGCCGGGGUUGACCAAGGUGCCUAUUGGAGACCAGCCAGCGGACAUAGAGAUGCAGAUCCGCAACAUGAUCAUGACUUACAUCACUAAAGACUCCUGCCUCAUCCUCGCUGUGUCCCCUGCCAACUCAGAUCUUGCUAACUCUGAUGCCUUGAAGCUCAGCAAGGAGGCCGACCCUGAUGGUUUGCGUACCAUCGGCGUGAUCACCAAGCUGGAUUUGAUGGACGAAGGCACAGAUGCUCGCGAUGUGCUGGAGAACAAACUGCUGCCGUUGCGUCGAGGAUACGUCGGUGUUGUCAAUAGGUCACAGAAGGACAUCGACGGCAAAAAAGAUAUCAAACAAGCCAUCGGAGCCGAACGUAAAUUUUUCCUGUCCCACCCUGCCUACCGUCACGUGGCAGAUCGCAUGGGGACACCUUACCUGCAGAGAGUCUUGAACCAGCAGCUGACCAACCACAUUAGAGAGACACUGCCCAGCCUGAGGGACAAGCUACAGAAACAGCUGCUGGCCAUGGAGAAGGAGGUUGACCAGUAUAAACACUUCCGACCAGAUGAUCCCUCUAUUAAAACGAAGGCUAUGUUGCAAAUGAUCCAACAGCUACAAAACGACAUAGAACGCUCCAUUGAAGGGUCUGGUUCUGCUCUCAUCAACACCAACGAACUCUCUGGAGGCGCAAAAAUCAACAGACUCUUUCACGAACGCUUCCCUUAUGAAAUUGUACGCAUGGAGUUUGACGAGAAGGAAUUACGUAGGGAGAUCGCCUUUGCCAUUCGUAACAUCCAUGGUAUCCGAGUGGGCUUGUUUACGCCUGACAUGGCCUUCGACGCAAUAGUGAAGGGACAGAUUGGACGCCUCAAGGAACCUUCUCUCAAGUGUGUCGAUCUGGUGGUGCAGGAGCUGACCAAUGUUGUGAGGGCCUGUACGCAGAAGAUGUCUCGCUACCCACGGCUGCAGGAGGAGACGGAACGCAUCAUCACCAAUCACAUCCGAGAGAGGGAACAGAUCGUCAAGGAGAACAUUUUGCUGCUCAACGAUUGCGAACUGGCUUACAUGAACACCAACCACGAGGACUUCAUAGGAUUUGCCAAUGCUAACAUCGAGAAUCCUUUGUUUAUGCGCACCACCACCAGGGUCUCGUGCUUGCCAGAGGCGCAGAACCAAACAGUGAGUGCCCAGCAGACCAGCGAAAAUACAGCCAAGUCGGGCCGUAAACUGGGCAACCAAGUGAUUCGCAAAGGCUACAUGUCCAUUUCCAACCUUGGCUUCAUGAAGGGAGGGUCUCGGGACUACUGGUUUGUCCUCACCUCUGAGUCACUCUCCUGGUUCAAGGAUGAGGAAGAGAGAGACAAGAAGUACAUGCUAAUGCUGGAUGGACUGAAGAUCAAGGACAUCGAGCAGGGCUUCAUGUCACGGCGCCAUGUUUUUGCUCUCUACAAUCCUGACCAAAAGAAUGUAUACAAGGACUACAAGGAACUGCAGCUUGGCGUGGAGACCCAGGACGACAUGGACUCCUGGAAAGCGUCCUUCCUACGAGCUGGAGUGUAUCCUGAGAAGGUGUCGGACAGUAGCAAUGGAGAAGAGGGCGCCAGUGAGGGCUCCACCUCGAUGGACCCACAACUGGAGCGGCAGGUGGAGACAAUCCGUAACCUGGUGGACUCGUACAUGAAGAUUGUGACCAAGACGACUCGCGACCUGGUGCCCAAAGCCAUCAUGCUGCUCAUGAUCAACAACACCAAGGACUUCAUCAUGGGGGAGCUGCUGGCACAUCUCUAUGCUUCAGGGUCCCAGAAUGCCAUGAUGGAGGAGAGUCCCGAGGAGGCCCGCAAGAGGGAGGAGAUGUUGCGAAUGUACCACGCAUGCAAGGAAGCACUCAAGAUCAUCGGGGACGUCGCCAUGGCAACCGUCUCCACCCCUGUGCCUCCACCAAUUAGAGACGAGUGGCUUUCUACUGGCCAAGACCAAUCCAGGAUUGGACAGAGUGGCCCCCCCUCCCCCGGUGGCAAUAUGAAGAGACCUAACCCACCCCCCAGCCACCCCCAGAGAGUGCCACCCCCUGUCCCUGGUGGUGGCGGCCGCCCUGCCCCCGCCGUGCCAUCCCGCCCCACUCCCGCCCCCCCAAGUCGCCAGGGGAACAGUGGGGUGCUGCCUCCUCCUCUCGUGCCAUCCCGCCCUGGGAGUGGUCCAGGGAUAGGGGGCAACCCACCUCUCCCCCAGAGGGUCCAGCAGGCCGCCAUGAACGCCGCUGCGGGGGCUGCCGUGAAUGCCGCAACCAGCGAACUCAUGUCCUCUUUUGGAUUCAAGAAAUAAAUCAACUUGUCUGUCUGUCUGUGUGUGUGUGUGUGUGUGUGUGUGUGUGUUUGUCCGUCUGCUUCUGUCUGUCUGUCUGUCUGGCUGGCUGGCUGGCUGGCUGGCUGGCUGGAGAAGAGGGACGGAGAAAGGAAAACUUGUAUUUGUUGCUGGAUUGGUGACAAAAAUCCAGUGUGUUUGUUAGUUUGACUGACUGACUGACUGGAGUGUUGGUCAGUUAGUGAAUGGCUGCCUGGCUGACUGGCUGGUUGACCGACUACUUGAGUGGGUCAGUUAGUUUGUCAGUUAGCUUGCUGACUGACUUACAGACUGGUUGAGUGAGUGUUACGCCUCAGAUAACAACACCUGUCAUUAUUAUUGUUAUUAUUAUUAUUAUUAUUAUUAUUGUGUUGCUAGGUUAGGUAUUGCUGAUUGUCGACGUAGUUAUUGUAAUGUGUUUGUUCUGGAAAGCUUGAUUGAUUUCACAUUGCAUCAACUUUUUCCAAAUUUGAUGUAACUGAGAGCAAAGAUUGUGUGUAUUAUUUAAAAUGUGAUUCUCUUGUGUUUAGGGAGGCAGUUUGAAGUGAGCUAUGCACCACCACACUCUUGACUGUUGGUGAAGGAAGUGAUGGCAAGAUGCAUAAUAUAUCUAAAUUUAUUCCACAUUUAGAAACCAAUUUGACGUGAUAAAUAUACACCACAGAUUCAUGACUGCCAGUGAAGGAAUGAUGGCAGACUCGUGGAUUAAUUUGUUGUCUUGCAUUGAUAUUGUGAAGUACGUUUUAUAAUUUGUGAUAGUGAGAUGUGAUAAAAACAGCCAGACACAUUCCUCUGCAACAUACCACACACCUGCAUAUGAGUAAGAUUUGUCGUACGUAAUCAAGAUGUGAUACGUAAAGAAAGUGAAGGAUUUGUGAUUUUGACAAGUGAAAAAAGACAAAACAUUCCAAAUACAGCUGUUAUCCUUACUGCCUUCAUGACACAUUACUCCAGCUGUGUACGUCAAAAAUUUAUGUAGUACGUAAACAAAAUUAAGGAUUCGCAAAAUUGACUAGUGCUACAGACAGUCAGACAUUCCAAAUACAGCCAUGAUAAAUCUUACGGCAACUAUAUACAUCCCAAAUGAGUAUAAUGCUAAAACAAAAUUAGAUUCGUAAUAUUGACUUCAAACAGGCACAUUCCAAAAUACAGCCAUCAUUACUUUCACUGCACUAAAUCUUACGUUAACAAUAUAUGUAAUGAAAUUAAUGCAGGUAAUAAUGAAAUAGACAGUAAAUAUCAAGAGAUGGCUCAGACAAACAGACAGACACAAUCCCAGCAUUUUCUGCCAUCAUUGCCUUCCUAAUUAACGCUUCAUACCAAAGGAUUUCGUUAUGCUUCCGUGUUCAGUUAGGUUAGGUUCACUUGGCUAAGGCGAUGCAGUUUAGUUUGGUUAGGUUAGGUGAGGUUAUGUUCAGUCACUCACAAACCUGACCUAAGUUAUUUCCUGUUUUUUUUAAGUUGUCAAACCUUAUCAAGCUAGUUUUGUUAGUUUAGGUUAAUUUGUUUAAGGUGAAGCAGUUUUUUGGUAAGGUUAAGGUUGGGUUCAGUCAUUCACAGCUGUUUUAUGUUUCUUUAAGUUAUCAAACCCAUUUAAGCUAGUUUGGUUAGGUUAGGUUGAGUUUGCUAAGCUGACGCAAACUAAAAGCUGUGUUCUAUUUCAUUAAGUUGUCAUGUCUGUUCAAGCUAGUUUCGUUAAGUUAAUAUUAGGUUAAGUUGAGUAGUUGAGUUUUCUAUGCUCAUUAAACCAAGCCAGUUUCAUCAGGUCUAAUUUGCUAACCUAACCUAACCAAGCUACAGUAAAAUAGUUUCAUUCAUAGCCUCAGUAAUCAACCAGGCCAGCCGUGCCUCAAUGCUCUCUACAAAAGAGUUACUAUAGGGUCAUUCAAGUUCCCCAACCUAACCUAACCUAACCUAAUCCAGUAUAGAAUAAUUUGACGUAACCUACCUUUAGCUACAAUUUAUUCCGUGAUGUUAAGUUACACUGCACUUGUUUCUAUGUUAGUCGUGUACAAUGUCUUUUUUUCCCCAAACCUAACCUAAUAGAAUAAUGUGACGUAACCUACCUUAAGUUACAAUUUAUUCCAUGAUGUUAAGUUACAUUGCACUUGUUUCUACGUUAGUCUUUUGUACAACAUCUUCUUUUUCUGAGCUUUAUUUAUUGACGCAUUGCAAUACUGACGUACAUACCGGGCAUGUUAAAAAAAAAAAAGCGGCAUUACUGUUUACGUAGUGUGAGUUCGGAUCUCCUUCGUAAUACUGGCAAAACUAAUCACGCAUUCUCAAACUUUUCACUAUUCUUCGCAAUUUUAGUUCCUCACACAGAGUUAUUUAGGUUCCCAAGAGCAUUUUAGUGAUUUUGUAGUUUGACAAGCACCAGUGGAUGUGUUGUAACCUUAAUAAUCUUGAUCUUGAAAGCUGGUCAGAAAAACAAAAAGGACAAAUUUGAUGCAUUCAUGUUUGAGGUAAAUACAGAGAGAGAGAGAGAGAGAGAGAGAGAGAGAGAGAGAGAGAGG